rnacentral:rRNA from 1 species
CCCAGACUCCUACGGGAGGCAGCAGUGGGGAAUAUUGCACAAUGGGGGAAACCCUGAUGCAGCGACGCCGCGUGAGUGAAGAAGUAUUUCGGUAUGUAAAGCUUUAUCAGCAGGGAAGAGAAUGACGGUACCUGAUUAAGAAGCCCCGGCUAACUACGUGCCAGCAGCCGCGGUAAUACGUAGGGGGCAAGCGUUAUCCGGAUUUACUGGGUGUAAAGGGAGCGUAGACGGCAAGGCAAGCCAGAAGUGAAAGGGCAGGGCUCAACCCUGUACAUGCUUUUGGAACUGGGGUGCUAGAGGGCAGGAGAGGUAAGGGGAAUUCCUAGUGUAGCGGUGAAAUGCGUAGAUAUUAGGAGGAACACCGGUGGCGAAGGCGGCUUACUGGACUGUAACUGACGUUGAGGCUCGAAAGCGUGGGGAGCAAACAGGAUUAGAUACCCGGGUAC